rnacentral:rRNA from 1 species
UAAUACAGAGGGUGCGAGCGUUGUUCGGAAUUAUUGGGCGUAAAGGGCGCGUAGGCGGCGCGGUAUGUCACCUGUGAAAUCUCCUGGCUCAACUGGGAGCUUGCAGGCGAAACUGCCGUGCUGGAGUGUGGGAGAGGUGCGUGGAAUUCCUGGUGUAGCGGUGAAAUGCGUAGAUAUCAGGAGGAACACCUGUGGCGAAAGCGGCGCACUGGACCACAACUGACGCUGAGGCGCGAAAGCUAGGGGAGCAAACAGGAUUAGAUACCCUGGUAGUCCUAGCCCUAAACGAUGGAUGCUUGGUGUGAUCGGUACCCAAUCCGAUCGUGCCGCAGCUAACGCGAUAAGCAUCCCGCCUGGGGAGUACGGUCGCAAGGCUG